rnacentral:rRNA from 1 species
AUUGAACGCUGGCGGCAUGCCUUACACAUGCAAGUCGAACGGCAGCACGGAGCUUGCUCUGGUGGCGAGUGGCGAACGGGUGAGUAAUAUAUCGGAACGUACCCUGGAGUGGGGGAUAACGUAGCGAAAGUUACGCUAAUACCGCAUACGAUCUAAGGAUGAAAGUGGGGGAUUCGCAAGAACCUCAUGCUCGUGGAGCGGCCGAUAUCUGAUUAGCUAGUUGGUAGGGUAAAAGCCUACCAAGGCAUCGAUCAGUAGCUGGUCUGAGAGGACGACCAGCCACACUGGAACUGAGACACGGUCCAGACUCCUACGGGAGGCAGCAGUGGGGAAUUUUGGACAAUGGGCGCAAGCCUGAUCCAGCAAUGCCGCGUGAGUGAAGAAGGCCUUCGGGUUGUAAAGCUCUUUUGUCAGGGAAGAAACGGUGAGGGCUAAUAUCCCUUGCUAAUGACGGUACCUGAAGAAUAAGCACCGGCUAACUACGUGCCAGCAGCCGCGGUAAUACGUAGGGUGCAAGCGUUAAUCGGAAUUACUGGGCGUAAAGCGUGCGCAGGCGGUUUUGUAAGUCUGAUGUGAAAUCCCCGGGGCUCAACCUGGGAAUUGCAUUGGAGACUGCAAGGCUAGAAUCUGGCAGAGGGGGGUAGAAUUCCACGUGUAGCAGUGAAAUGCGUAGAUAUGUGGAGGAACACCGAUGGCGAAGGCAGCCCCCUGGGUCAAGAUUGACGCUCAUGCACGAAAGCGUGGGGAGCAAACAGGAUUAGAUACCCUGGUAGUCCACGCCCUAAACGAUGUCUACUAGUUGUCGGGUCUUAAUUGACUUGGUAACGCAGCUAACGCGUGAAGUAGACCGCCUGGGGAGUACGGUCGCAAGAUUAAAACUCAAAGGAAUUGACGGGGACCCGCACAAGCGGUGGAUGAUGUGGAUUAAUUCGAUGCAACGCGAAAAACCUUACCUACCCUUGACAUGGCUGGAAUCCUUGAGAGAUCAGGGAGUGCUCGAAAGAGAGCCAGUACACAGGUGCUGCAUGGCUGUCGUCAGCUCGUGUCGUGAGAUGUUGGGUUAAGUCCCGCAACGAGCGCAACCCUUGUCAUUAGUUGCUACGAAAGGGCACUCUAAUGAGACUGCCGGUGACAAACCGGAGGAAGGUGGGGAUGACGUCAAGUCCUCAUGGCCCUUAUGGGUAGGGCUUCACACGUCAUACAAUGGUACAUACAGAGCGCCGCCAACCCGCGAGGGGGAGCUAAUCGCAGAAAGUGUAUCGUAGUCCGGAUUGUAGUCUGCAACUCGACUGCAUGAAGUUGGAAUCGCUAGUAAUCGCGGAUCAGCAUGUCGCGGUGAAUACGUUCCCGGGUCUUGUACACACCGCCCGUCACACCAUGGGAGCGGGUUUUACCAGAAGUAGGUAGCUUAACCGCAAGGAGGGCGCUUACCACGGUAGGAUUCGUGACUGGGGUG